GAUGAACGCUGGCGGCGUGCCUAAUACAUGCAAGUCGAGCGAACAGACGAGGAGCUUGCUCCUCUGACGUUAGCGGCGGACGGGUGGGUAACACGUGGAUAACCUACCUAUAAGACUGGUAUAACUUCGGGAAACCGGAGCUAAUACCGGAUAACAUGUUGAACCGCAUGGUUCAACAGUGAAAGACGGUCUUGCUGUCACUUAUAGAUGGAUCCGCGCCGCAUUAGCUAGUUGGUAAGGUAACGGCUUACCAAGGCAACGAUGCGUAGCCGACCUGAGAGGGUGGUCGGCCACAUGGGAACUGAGACACGGUCAAGACUCCUACGGGAGGCAGCAGUAGGGAAUCUUACGCAAUGGGCGAAAGCCUGACGGAGCAACGCCGCGUGAGUGAUGAAGGUCUUCGGAUCGUAAAACUCUGUUAUUAGGGAAGAACAAAUGUGUAAGUAACUAUGCACGUAUUGACGGUACCUAAUCAGAAAGCAACGGCUAACUACGUG
rnacentral:rRNA from 1 species